CAAGUUGCUUCUACAGUGGGAGAUCUGUGUUGCUACCUCGACCUCAUAACUAGUGCUGAUCUUUCUUUUAUAAACCUCUUUUUUUAACUAAUGUCUGCUCCUUGUAAGCCUGAUGCAAUACUUGUUUGCUUCUUUGCUUUCAUCUUCGUGUGUUAGUUUAAUUUCUAAAAGGGAACAUUUAUCAUAUGUGCGAGAGCUGCAGCAGUUGGGAUUUGAAAGCAGAGUCAUCUGAUACCCUUGAUUUAUGAGGAACAUAAAACUGAGCAAAAACUUGUUAUUCAUUUUGAGAGAAACAAUUCUGCUGCACAUAGGGAUGAAGUGACAGAGGCUGUGUUAGAUUGUUUCUCUGCGUUGAGUAUGUUCCCAGUGUCUGAGCUACUGCUGCAAAAAUGGAAGAACUGCUUGCGGCUUAUAACCGAUGGGGCGCAAAGCGGAUAAUCGGUUGUCUUGCACUGAAACCACCUGACACCAGACAUCUAAUUAUCAUGACCGCCAGGAACUAACAGGAUGUGGUUUUAUAAAGGAGCUGUUGGAGUUUUCACAAGCUUCAGUCUCCCUCAGAUGUGCGUCCAAGUGCUGUGCUGUAAGCAAUAAAAUUAAUGAAAGAACAUCUUGAAGAAUAGCUUAAGGCUUUAAGUCUACAAAUCGCCAAAGAAGAGGUUAAAGGUUCUGGAUGAAAUCAUAAAGAACAAGUAAAUGGUCAGGUUCUGCCAACUUAAUGACUGAUUCAAUCAGAAUCCCUUUUGAUGUCUUAAUAGUCAUUUAUACAUAAAGCAAGUAAAAAUGUGUGCUAUAGGUACUCCCUUUCCUUACUGCUGGCUUCUGCCAUCUCUGACAACUUCUACAGCGGGUGACAUACAGGAUUAGACAUGAAUGCAGGUCUCUUCUCAGGAAAGUACAUGUCAUUAUCCUUGGAUAUCUGUUAUAAUAUCUUAAUAUUGUUUAUGAAAUACCAGAAAAAUGUUCACAGUGUAAAAAAGUGGAUCCUGGUUUGAUCAAGACCUUCACAGUCUAAAUCAAACAGACUGUAUGAUCAGACAGACCUGUGAUAUACCAGAUUACACUUCUACCAUGAAUUAGCUGUGAUGUUUUCUUUAGUAGAAAGAAACUGAUUAUAUAGAUGGAGUCAUUAAAAGGCUUUAUGAAGGAAGUAUGUUUCAAAGAGAACCUUACAAAGGGAAAGGAUGGUGAAGAAAAAUUUACAAGGAGUGAGAAUGAAUUUGCACUAAGAGGAGGAACUUGGAAAAAGCUGCAGCGUGACAAACUUGGGUUUAGAAGAAAGCAGUGAACAUAGAGCAGUGAUAUACUGUGGCAUGGCUUCAAACGAAGAGGCAGACGAUCCCAUCAUCCCCAAAAGAGGUGGUUAGAACACGUCUGUGGGAGUUGACUCUGACUUGUAUGAAAAAACAUUGCAUCUUUCCCACUUCCUCCACAAGUGCUGUGACCGCCAAACUGCUGUUAAGUCAAUGCAGUUCCUACCGCCUGCUCCUGUGGGGAAAAUAAAAAAGAGCUUUGCCCAGCUUUUUUUUGAAAAUGUGGGUUCCUAUAUUUAGUAGAGGUUUGAGGCUAAAGAUACAUUUUCUGAAAAGCAUAUCUCUACAGGUCUGAGAGGUGGUAUUCAAGAUAUAUUCCUAUUCUCAGUAUUUCCUACAAGCUAGUGCUAGAUAGCUGCACCUUUGACUUUAAGUGGUUCCCUAAUGGUGUGCUCACAUCCUUAGAUCAUUUAUUGAGGUUCCACUAAUGCCCAGGUGAUAUACCCACCAGCAUGAGCCUGUAUCAGCCCUAAAAUUGGAGGCGUCUAUUGAAUCUGGCCCUUUGUUUCAGUUAUUGAAGUAAUACUGAAGUCAGUAAAGGGGACAGCAGUGCUAGUCGAGAAAGACAUGGACAGCAGUAUCUUUGCCCCAGUAAUGUCCUUGGUAAAGCAAAGCCAGUUUUUUUCCCACUGGCCCAAUAAAAUUGCCUCAGUCUGCUUCCUUGGGUGAUCAAUGCUCAUCUGGAAUUUUAUCACUGUCCUUUUUAGAGGAUAAUUUAAUUGUUUUUACAUUUAUAGAGGCAAAGUAAUAACCUUAGAUUUACAUAUAGCUAAUUUCUUUCUUUGUGAGUGGGUUCUGCAGGAUGUGAGCAAUUAAGCUUCUGUGGGAGGAUACAGGAAACAUGAUUAAUGGAUCAAAGAGACACCAUCUAAGGGAAAUAGGUAUAAUACCAAGGGAGAUAAUGCUCCAAAUCAUAAUAGUUAUGCAAAUAUGCCAAAUGUUGGAGAAUUCAAUUAAUAUUUGACAAAUGGAUUUUCUGUGAUGCAGAGUAAACACAUACUGGGGAAAAAAUAAAGCUCUAUUGCACAUUAUCUGUUAGCUUCCUCUCAUGCAGGCUGGGUUGGCUGGUCAGGCAUCUCAUUUCACUGCAGGUGGCAAAGAACAGCUAGGCACGAAUCAGUGCCAGACAGUGAUAUUGUUUGGAUGAAAAAGAUUGACCAAGGUUAAAUCCUGUGCACGCAAGGCCAAUCAGCACUUGUCAGUGUGCUUAGGUCUAUUGCUCAGUCCUCUGCUAAAAGUUAAAUUUUAGUCCAUGUAAAUGAAAAGUGGUUUAAGAAUGAAGGAGACAGAAUUAGGCAACGUUUAUGUUCUUGAUUUUCUUUUUCACUUCUCUUUUCUUAUCUGUAAAAGCAACAUUAGUAGAAAAAACAAUAAUCAAGUAAGAACAGAAUGCCUGAGCUAGUGGAAGACACUGGGCUGGGACUCAAAAAGACUAAGCCUCAGUUACCCAAAUAUAAAAUGAGGUUAAUACUGAUGAUAUAUAAAGGCAAUGACUCAUUCAGCCCAGGUUAGGUUUGUCCUUCAGCCAUUACAUCCAUCUAGAAAGAAUGAGCCAUGCUCGGUUAGGCCACUACAGUGAGGGGAAGGCUCUGUGCUGUGUAUGCUGAGCGGGCAGAAGCUCCAAAGUCCAGGAGAAGAGAAGCGCUCAGACAUGUGUUAUCCUCAGGAUUUCAUACUGGCUGGCCACCAAGCCCUUGUGUGGCAUUCUGGGCUACCCUGAGUAGUGUCUAAUCCUUUCUUUGAGAACAUGGACCUUACACAUGUAAUUUCAGUUCUUUGAUUCACCCUGCUGAGACCAGACUUUGUGAUGCCUGUAAGAAGGGCAUAAACAGGCACUGUAGAUCUCAUCCUCGCAUCAUUUAAGUGUGCAUUUUCCCUUUGCUUUUGACUGUAGGGGAGGAUGAGAGCCCUAUUUUCUACUUGCAAGGCAUGUGUUUCAUUCAUUUUGAUUCACUAUGGUCAAGUUACAAGAUCUUAAGAAAAUCCUCAUCUCUUCUAUUAAGCCAUCUAUUUAAAUUAGACAUAAUAGAUUUUAAUAAACAUUGAUAUUUUCCCAAGCUUAUGAUUUCUUUUAACAAGCAAUUUUGCUGUGAUCUUUGAGUUAUUGCCUCUAAUAGAUGACUUCCCUGUUGUCAGGGCUGAUUCCAUCUCAAAAUGUAUUAAUCUAACCCACAUGUACACUUUAGUUAAAUGUAUCUUGGCAGACAUCCACCACUGGUAUCAGUUCUGAACACCACAGAGUAUUUCUCUAAUUGGACAUAAAAUUCAUAGUUUUAUCAUAUGAUUCUUUGCUAUACAGUGUGUCCAAUUAGAUUUAAUGAGCUCAUUUUCAGGACAAGUUAGCCAAACCAGUGUUAUUGCUAAUUUAUAGAGGCUACAGAAAAAGUUACUUGAUUAAUUUCUUUCCUAAAUUAAAACUUUCUAGGAAAUAUUAUUGCUUCUUUUCCUUUUAGCAUGUGAAUAUACAAAAACCUGA